AGCGGGGUGGAGGAAUAGUACCUCGUCAGGCUCAUAAUCUGAAGGUCCCGGUGCAAAUCCGGGCCCCGCCACCA
rnacentral:tRNA from 1 species